GACGAACGCUGGCGGCGUGCUUAACACAUGCAAGUCGAACGGAAAGGCCCUGCUUUUGUGGGGUGCUCGAGUGGCGAACGGGUGAGUAACACGUGAGUAACCUGCCCUUGACUUUGGGAUAACUUCAGGAAACUGGGGCUAAUACCGGAUAGGAGCUCCUGCUGCAUGGUGGGGGUUGGAAAGUUUCGGCGGUUGGGGAUGGACUCGCGGCUUAUCAGCUUGUUGGUGGGGUAGUGGCUUACCAAGGCUGUGACGGGUAGCCGGCCUGAGAGGGUGGACGGCGACAUUGGGACUGAGAGAGGGCCCAGACGCCAACGGUAGGCAGCAGGGGGGAAUAUGGCACAAUGGGCGGAAGCCUGAUGCAGCAACGUCGCGUGCGGGAUGACGGCCUUCGGGUUGUAAACCGCUUUCGCCUGUGACGAAGCGUGAGUGACGGUAAUGGGUAAAGAAGCACCGGCUAACUACGUG
rnacentral:rRNA from 1 species